ACCGACUCGUGGCAGCUGAGCGCGUCCCCGGGCGCGCCCGGGAGCGCGGCCGGCAGGGACCACAGGAAGCGGCCCAGGCGCUCGAUCUCGCCGCUCUCCUCCAGGGUCUCGCACACGCGGGCCACUUGCGCCGGAGCUGCAUGAAGGGGCACUCAGCAAUUGUCCUGGGAGCUCUGGUUCCAGUACAGCAGAAGGAGAGGAAUGCGAGCGCUGGAACACGGACACGCGGUGACAGGCGUACCUGCUCUGUGGACGCGCACGACCGCCGUGACAGGCGUAUCUGCUCCGUGGACGCCAGCCGCCGGCAGCCGCUGCCCGACAUUUGAGAUGAGCUGCGCUUAGGAGGGCCGCGCAGUACAUCCUGAGGCACCGAUGAGUAAGUCAGACAGCGGUUUGGCUUUGUGACCGCUUGUUAGGAGCGAUAAAGUGAGAACAGUGCCUAACAAUGGUGCGCGUCCCGGGGGACUGUUUCCAUUCUCACUUAACUAAUAAUAAUUUGUAUGAACAGUUUCAGUCUGGUUUUCGACCCCUCCAUAGCACUGAAACAGCCCUCAUAAAAAUAACCAAUGACCUUCUUAUGGCAGCUGACUCUGGUUUUCUUACCAUUCUUAUUCUUCUGGAUCUGAGUGCAGCCUUUGAUACUAUCUCUCACUCUGUUCUUCUUAGUAGGUUAACCUCCAUUGGUCUCUCUGGUACACCAUUACACUGGUUUAAAUCGUAUUUGUCUGACCGCACUCAGUUUAUCCAGCUUAAA